UACAGAGGUCCCGAGCGUUGUUCGGAUUCAUUGGGCGUAAAGGGUGCGUAGGCGGCUUUCUAAGUCUGGUGUGAAAUCCUGGGGCUCAACCGUGGAACUGCACUGGAUACUGGGAGGCUAGAGUACUGGAGAGGAAACUGGAAUUUACGGUGUAGCAGUGAAAUGCGUAGAGAUCGUAAGGAAGACCAGUGGCGAAGGCGAGUUGCUGGACAGUUACUGACGCUGAGGCGCGAAAGCUAGGGGAGCAAACGGG
rnacentral:rRNA from 1 species